UACGUAGGCAGCAAGCGUUGUUCGGAGUUACUGGGCGUAAAGGGUGUGUAGGCGGUCUUCUAAGUCUGGUGUGAAAUCUCCCGGCUCAACUGGGAGGAGUCGUUCAAUACUACCAAACUUGAGGGCAUCAGAGGAAGGUGGAAUUCCGGGUGUAGUGGUGAAAUGCGUAGAUAUCCGGAGGAACACCAGUGGCGAAGGCGGCCUUCUGGGAUGCUCCUGACGCUCAGACACGAAAGCUAGGGGAGCGAACGGG
rnacentral:rRNA from 1 species